AAAGGAAUAGACGGGUCCCCGCACAAGCGGCGGAGCAUGCGGCUUAAUUCGAUGCAACCCGAAGAACCUUACCUGGGCUUGACAUCACGGGAAAAGCCGUAGAAAUACGGUGUCCAUUAGGGCCCGUGACAGGUGGUGCAUGGCUGUCGUCAGCUCGUGUCGUGAGAUGUUGGGUUAAGUCCCGCAACGAGCGCAACCCUUGUCCUAUGUUGCCAGCACGUAAUGGUGGGGACUCAUAGGAGACUGCCGGGGACAACUCGGAGGAAGGUGAGGACGACGUCAAGUCAUCAUGCCCCUUAUGUCCAGGGCUGCACGCAUGCUACAAUGGCCAGUACAAUGGGCUGCGAACUCGCGAGAGUGAGCCAAUCCCCAAAGCUGGCCUCAGUUCGGAUUGGAGUCUGCAACUCGACUCCAUGAAGUCGGAGUCGCUAGUAAUCGCGGAUCAGCAAAGCCGCGGUGAAUGCGUUCUCGGGGAUUGUACACACCGCCCGU
rnacentral:rRNA from 1 species